GCUCAACCGAGGAAGUGCUUCGAAAACUGGUAAACUUGAGUGCAGAAGAGGAAAGUGGAACUCCAUGUGUAGCGGUGGAAUGCGUAGAUAUAUGGAAGAACACCAGUGGCGAAGGCGGCUUUCUGGUCUGUAACUGACGCUGAGAUUCGAAAGCAUGGGUAGCAAACAGGAUUAGAUACCCUGGUAGUCCAUGCCGUAAACGAUGAGUGCUAAGUGUUGGAGGGUUUCCGCCCUUCAGUGCUGCAGCUAACGCAUUAAGCACUCCGCCUGGGGAGUACGAUCGCAAGAUUGAAACUCAAAGGAAUUGACGGGGGCCCGCACAAGCGGUGGAGCAUGUGGUUUAAUUCGAAGCAACGCGAAGAACCUUACCAGGUCUUGACAUACCAUGAAAAGGUAAGAGAUUAGUCUUUCCCUUCGGGGACAUGGAUACAGGUGGUGCAUGGUUGUCGUCAGCUCGUGUCGUGAGAUGUUGGGUUAAGUCCCGCAACGAGCGCAACCCUUAUUAUCAGUUGCCAGCAUUCAGUUGGGCACUCUGGUGAGACUGCCGGUGACAAACCGGAGGAAGGUGGGGACGACGUCAAAUCAUCAUGCCCCUUAUGACCUGGGCUACACACGUGCUACAAUGGUCGGUACAACG
rnacentral:rRNA from 1 species